rnacentral:rRNA from 1 species
ACGGAAGGCAGCAGUGGGGAAUAUUGCACAAUGGGGGAAACCCUGAUGCAGCGACGCCGCGUGAGUGAAGAAGUAUUUCGGUAUGUAAAGCUCUAUCAGCAGGAAAGAAAAUGACGGUACCUGACUAAGAAGCCCCGGCUAACUACGUGCCAGCAGCCGCGGUAAUACGUAGGGGGCAAGCGUUAUCCGGAUUUACUGGGUGUAAAGGGAGCGUAGACGGCUUUGCAAGUCUGAAGUGAAGGCCCGGGGCUCAACCCCGGAACUGCUUUGGAAACUGUAGAGCUAGAGUGCAGGAGAGGUAAGUGGAAUUCCUAGUGUAGCGGUGAAAUGCGUAGAUAUUAGGAGGAACACCAGUGGCGAAGGCGGCUUACUGGACUGUAACUGACGUUGAGGCUCGAAGGCGUGGGGAGCAAACAGGAUUAGAUACCCUGGUA